CUGAUUAACCAGUGUGUCUCUGUGUUCAUUUUCUCCAUGCCAGUUUUUUUCAUCAAACAUUUUAACCCUUGUUUCUUGUGGAUCUUCCUCAUGGCUCUUCUUGUGUUUUUCACCUGUUUUGUUGGACCUUGUUGCUUCUUGGACUCUGUAAAAAUAUGGAUUCUUGAGUGGAGUACAGUGGCACCAGACAAAGCAGAGCGGCCUUGAGACCCCCGACCGGCCCUUGCUGAGGUUGGAAAUUCAGGAGUAAAGCCUUGAGAGACUCUUCCAACUUUGAUCCAACUUUAGUCACCAGGGCAAUAACCAGGUUUUAGGUCCGCCAGCUAACCUGUCAUGAACUCACCAGUCUACUGCCAGGACGCAGCGAGCUUCAUCAGUCAGGACAGCUCUGAGCUCUGCAGCAAAUCUAAUAAACCAGUAACAGUUUUCUUACUCCCACCAAGAAUGGUAACCAAGCUGCUCAAAUAUUGGAUCUCAGGAAAUAGUGAAGGACAAUUUCCCUUCGAGCGUAACAUUAGAAUGCACAGGCCUGGCUCCCGGAGGUUCGGGGCCACCACCGCUGGGUCACUCCAAUUAAACGGAGCUUCCCUGCUGUGGCCCGAGCCAGCCUGAACACGGGAGCACCCGAGGGGAGCUGGAGGAAGAAGUAGAGGAAGGAGAGAUGAGAGACACACACAUCCCUGAGCAGUGUGUUAUGCUUGGCACAUAUUUGGCCCAGCGGCUCUCCCUGUCUACACUUCUGGGUCCUGAUUAUGCUGCAAAGUGAUCAUUAGAAAGAAAAAAAAAAAGAGAAAAACAUUCAAGGACAGCAAGAGUAAAGACAAAGCAUCUGCUACUUCAGCAGACUUUUCCAUCAGGUUUAAAAAUGAGUUCAGGAUUUUAAGGAAUCUGUACAUUUCAAACUGCUUUAUGUCACGAAAUCUGGCUAAAAAGUCGAGGCUGCAGCAUACUGUAUUUGAUAAGUUAACUUGGGCUGUUUGUGUUCUCUUCCACAAGUUUCCAAUGUCUGCAAAACAGAUUGAUGUGC